GAGUUUGAUCGUGGCUCAGGAUGAACGCUGGCGGCGUGCUUAACACAUGCAAGUCGAACGAUGAUCCCAGCUUGCUGGGGGAUUAGUGGCGAACGGGUGAGUAACACGUGAGUAACCUGCCCUUGACUCUGGGGAUAAGCCUGGGAAACUGGGUCUAAUACCGGAUAUGACCUUCCAUCGCAUGGUGGUUGGUGGAAAGCUUUUGUGGUUUUGGAUGGACUCGCGGCCUAUCAGCUUGUUGGUGAGGUAAUGGCUUACCAAGGCGACGACGGGUAGCCGGCCUGAGAGGGUGACCGGCCACACUGGGACUGAGACACGGCCCAGACUCCUACGGGAGGCAGCAGUGGGGAAUAUUGCACAAUGGGCGCAAGCCUGAUGCAGCGACGCCGCGUGAGGGAUGACGGCCUCGGUUGUAACCGUAC
rnacentral:rRNA from 1 species